rnacentral:rRNA from 1 species
CCAGCACCCCGAGUGGUCGGGACGAUUAUUGGGCCUAAAGCAUCCGUAGCCGGUUUUACAAGUCCUCCGUUAAAUCCAACUGCUUAACAGAUGGGCCGCGGAGGAUACUAUAAGACUAGGAGGCAGGAGAGGCAAGCGGUACUCAGUGGGUAGGGGUAAAAAUCCGUUGAUCCAUUGAAGACCACCAGUGGCGAAGGCGGCUUGCCAGAAUGCGCUCGACGGUGAGGGAUGAAAGCUGGGGGAGCAAACCGGAUUAGAUACCCUGGUAGUCCCAGCUGUAAACGAUGCAGACUCGGUGAUGGACCAGCUUCAUGCUAGUCCAGUGCCGCAGGGAAGCCGUUAAGUCUGCCGCCUGGGUAGUACGGUCGCAAGACUG